GGGUUGUGAGGUUAAGCGACUAAGCGUACACGGUGGAUGCCCUGGCAGUCAGAGGCGAUGAAGGACGUGCUAAUCUGCGAAAAGCGUCGGUAAGGUGAUAUGAACCGUUACAGCCGGCGAUGUCCGAAUGGGGAAACCCAGUGCAAUUCGUUGCACUAUCGUUUGAUGAAUACAUAGUCAAACGAGGCGAACCGGGGGAACUGAAACAUCUAAGUACCCCGAGGAAAAGAAAUCAACCGAGAUUCCCCCAGUAGCGGCGAGCGAACGGGGAGCAGCCCGGAGUCUGAAUCAGCUUGUGUGUUAGUGGAAGCGUCUGGAAAGUCGCAGGGUACAGGGUGAUACUCCCGUACACUAAAACGCACAGGUUGUGAACUCGAAGAGUAGGGCGGGACACGUGGUAUCCUGUCUGAAUAUGGGGGGACCAUCCUCCAAGGCUAAAUACUCCUGACUGACCGAUAGUGAACCAGUACCGUGAGGGAAAGGCGAAAAGAACCCCGGCGAGGGGAGUGAAAAAGAACCUGAAACCGUGUACGUACAAGCAGUAGGAGCCCCACCACCAAAGCGUUUCGCUUUGCGUGGUGCGCAAAAUGCGUAACGACAGCAUGAUGGACGGUUAACGGAGCGUAAGCGACGUUCAACAUCCAAAAUCAGGCAGUGGAGCGUUUUGGGGUGGGGUGACUGCGUACCUUUUGUAUAAUGGGUCAGCGACUUAUAUUCUGUAGCAAGGUUAACCGAAUAGGGGAGCCGCAGGGAAACCGAGUCUUAACUGGGCGUUAAGUUGCAGGGUAUAGACCCGAAACCCGGUGAUCUAGCCAUGGGCAGGUUGAAGGUUGGGUAACACUAACUGGAGGACCGAACCGACUAAUGUUGAAAAAUUAGCGGAUGACUUGUGGCUGGGGGUGAAAGGCCAAUCAAACCGGGAGAUAGCUGGUUCUCCCCGAAAGCUAUUUAGGUAGCGCCUCGUGAAUUCAUCUUCGGGGGUAGAGCACUGUUUCGGCUAGGGGGUCAUCCCGACUUACCAACCCGAUGCAAACUACGAAUACCGAAGAAUGUUAUCACGGGAGACACACGGCGGGUGCUAACGUCCGUCGUGAAGAGGGAAACAACCCAGACCGCCAGCUAAGGUCCCAAAGUCAUGGUUAAGUGGGAAACGAUGUGGGAAGGCCCAGACAGCCAGGAUGUUGGCUUAGAAGCAGCCAUCAUUUAAAGAAAGCGUAAUAGCUCACUGGUCGAGUCGGCCUGCGCGGAAGAUGUAACGGGGCUAAACCAUGCACCGAAGCUGCGGCAGCGAACGUAUCACUUAAAACGAUUCAGGGGUUACGAUUGACGGAGCGUAAGCGACGUCAAAGCGUAUACAAAGUCGAGUCGGUUUAAGGAUACGUUCGUUGGGUAGGGGAGCGUUCUGUAAGCCGUUGAAGGUGGCCUGUGAGGGUUGCUGGAGGUAUCAGAAGUGCGAAUGCUGACAUAAGUAACGAUAAUGCGGGUGAAAAACCCGCACGCCGGAAGACCAAGGGUUCCUGUCCAACGUUAAUCGGGGCAGGGUGAGUCGACCCCUAAGGCGAGGCCGAAAGGCGUAGUCGAUGGGAAACAGGUUAAUAUUCCUGUACUUGGUGUUACUGCGAAGGGGGGACGGAGAAGGCUAUGUUGGCCGGGCGACGGUUGUCCCGGUUUAAGCAUGUAGGCGGAUGUUCCAGGUAAAUCCGGAACGUCACUAACGCUGAGGUGUGAUGACGAGGCACUACGGUGCUGAAGUGACAAAUGCCCUGCUUCCAGGAAAAGCCUCUAAGCAUCAGGUAACAUCAAAUCGUACCCCAAACCGACACAGGUGGUCAGGUAGAGAAUACCAAGGCGCUUGAGAGAACUCGGGUGAAGGAACUAGGCAAAAUGGUGCCGUAACUUCGGGAGAAGGCACGCUGAUGGUAAGUGAAGCGACUUGCUCGUGGAGCUGAAAUCAGUCGAAGAUACCAGCUGGCUGCAACUGUUUAUUAAAAACACAGCACUGUGCAAACACGAAAGUGGACGUAUACGGUGUGACGCCUGCCCGGUGCCGGAAGGUUAAUUGAUGGGGUUAUCCUCGCGGAGAAGCUCUUGAUCGAAGCCCCGGUAAACGGCGGCCGUAACUAUAACGGUCCUAAGGUAGCGAAAUUCCUUGUCGGGUAAGUUCCGACCUGCACGAAUGGCGUAAUGAUGGCCAGGCUGUCUCCACCCGAGACUCAGUGAAAUUGAACUCGCUGUGAAGAUGCAGUGUACCCGCGGCAAGACGGAAAGACCCCGUGAACCUUUACUAUAGCUUGACACUGAACACUGGUCCUUGAUGUGUAGGAUAGGUGGGAGGCUUUGAAGUGUGGACGCCAGUCUGCAUGGAGCCAUCCUUGAAAUACCACCCUUUAAUGGCUGGUGUUCUAACGUGGGCCCCUGAUCGGGGUUGCGGACAGUGUCUGGUGGGUAGUUUGACUGGGGCGGUCUCCUCCUAAAGAGUAACGGAGGAGCACGAAGGUCAGCUAAUCCUGGUCGGACAUCAGGAGGUUAGUGCAAUGGCAUAAGCUGGCUUGACUGCGAGCGUGACGGCGCGAGCAGGUGCGAAAGCAGGUCAUAGUGAUCCGGUGGUUCUGAAUGGAAGGGCCAUCGCUCAACGGAUAAAAGGUACUCCGGGGAUAACAGGCUGAUACCGCCCAAGAGUUCAUAUCGACGGCGGUGUUUGGCACCUCGAUGUCGGCUCAUCACAUCCUGGGGCUGAAGUAGGUCCCAAGGGUAUGGCUGUUCGCCAUUUAAAGUGGUACGCGAGCUGGGUUUAGAACGUCGUGAGACAGUUCGGUCCCUAUCUGCCGUGGGCGCUGGAGAAUUGAGGGGGGCUGCUCCUAGUACGAGAGGACCGGAGUGGACGCAUCACUGGUGUUCGGGUUGUCAUGCCAAUGGCAUUGCCCGGUAGCUAAAUGCGGAAGAGAUAAGUGCUGAAAGCAUCUAAGCACGAAACUUGCCCCGAGAUGAGUUCUCCCUGACUCCUUGAGAGUCCUGAAGGAACGUUGAAGACGACGACGUUGAUAGGCCGGGUGUGUAAGCGCAGCGAUGCGUUGAGCUAACCGGUACUAAUGAACCGUGAGGCUUAACCUUACAACGCCGAAG
rnacentral:rRNA from 1 species